rnacentral:lncRNA from 1 species
GCGAUCAUUUGUGCAUUGGCAAAAAGAAAGAGUUCAGAAUUGCUCAAGAUUUAAAUCAGUGGUAUUCAAAACCUUUUUCAGCAGGGACCCCAUUUUCUUCGCCAGAAUUUGACGACCCCAUCCCAAAUCUGAUGACAACCUUUACAUUUAAUUUUUUUUUUUUUUUUUUUAAUUGGUACAUUUGGAUUGUCACAUCAACAAAUUGCCUGCAAUUAAUUACAUUUCUCUCCUAUCAAAAUUAAGAAUCAAGUAAUACACAUUUAAUCAUUCAAAUUUUAUUUUUCUAAUCAUCUUUCUCAAUAACAUUAGUAUAUGUAUUUUUUAAAUGAUCUUUCUCAAUAACUUUUGUAUAUUGUCCCAAAAAUAAUCUAAUUUUUGCCCACUGCAUUUCCCCUGCGACCCCACUAGGGGGAGACUUUGAAUACCAACAAUUUAAAUAACAGGAAGGGAAAGCAUGAUGACAUUUUUAAUUUUUUUUAUUUCAUUUUUAAGGGUUUCAACAAUUCACUUUAGGCAAAGAAAACGAUAGUUAUUUAGUAAUAAUAUUUCAUGUUUUAGUUUACUGAAAGGAAAACACUGGGGGACAGGACCUAAGUAAUGAACGAUGUGUACACGUGUUACGGGAUAGGGCUUAACUAAGGCAUAGGGUUGGUAAAUGGGGUAGGGAAGGAAAAAAAUUAUAAUCACACUGAUACAUAUAUUCAUCGUCCUCCCUUUGUUUUACAAAGAUAGUCCCAAAACAUAUUCCCACCCACCCAUACAAUAGCAACAAUGACAAAAAUAAAUGAUACUUGGAGUAAAAAAAAACAGCAAAUAAUCAAUAUAUAAUAAAAUAUAAUACGAAUUGUACAGUACACUCCGGUUGUUCCCAUUAUCCAUUCCUGACACCUAAGUCCCAUUGUUUUCCCCUAUAUAUGAUGGAAGUGUACAGAAAAAUGGUCUCUUUCAUUCCAUUCUGAUCCAUUCCAACCUGUUCAGCUAGCCAGUUUUGCACAAUUUUACCGAUUGUUUGACAAGAUACGUCCAGUUACACUAAGUGAUUAUUCAAUUCAGUGAGUCAAGUUUCAUAACAGGAGUGACUAACUGACAACUAUCUUUUAUCGGUUCAAAUAGCUUCUUAGACUGACUUGCUUACCAGACAAUUGUUUUUGCUUCAGGCCAAACAUCUGUACGAAAAAAAAUCUCUACAGGGAACAAAAGAAAAACACAUAGUACAGAACAAAAGACAAAUACUAUUACUGUUUAACUGUGAAUAAUGACAGAAAACAGAAAACAUCAGUACUUUUGGUACUCCACUCUUACUAGUAUGCAUUCAUAAUCCCAGACCAAACACAGCUAACAAAAAUUAUACUGUGGUAGAAUGCAUUUCAGAAGAAAAGAGGUGCUACUCAAACACUCACAUGAUCUAGAAUCCUCUCUCCGCUUUGGGGAAGCAAAGACAGACGGAUGGUGCUUUUGAUGUUGGCCUUUAAAAAGUCCAUGUUAUCUUACAAACAUCUCUGCUAUAGUAAGGAUUGUAUGAAUGUAGAGGGGAUAUAUGGUAGUUAUACUAAGCCUGUUGCCCACAUCUUUAAAACUUGCUAGUUCUUGCUUGCUUUUUAGUUUAAAAAUCCUAGACUAGAAAAUAAUUAGUGGCUGUAUUCAGUCACCACUGUUGUUCUCCCAGGCUGGCCCUCCUGAACCGCUUCUUCCGCUGUCUUCUCAACAACCUCUCUUGGGGGCAAGUUCACGUUCAAGCCCCAGCUUCCACUACCUAAGAGAGAUUGACCCCGGCAAGCAACCCUGUGCCUCUCCAGGAGAGAUCCAUUCCAGAAGCGGGAGCGGCAUUUGGGACAUGAGAACCGCCCUUGGGAAAGGUGACGUCCACGAUGAAUGAGGGCUUUCCGUAACGUCCGAGAACGCUUUCCGCAGACCGAACACUUCAGACGGGCCUGGUGGCCGUUAUUUCUUGGAGGAUGCCUCACACAACGAUGGAUCAAAAGUUUGGCCAGACUGGCGAAUGUGGUGCUGGGGCAGUACUGGCAUGGAAAACGUUUUAUGGGGACUUCCAUAGAUGACAGCCCACUGACCUUAACCACACCUCCGCACCAUUGUCUAACUCUAUACCCUCCUCUCAUCCUCAGGAGCUGGGCGAGCAGUUUCUUUUGCUUAAGCUUCUCAUGCAUUAUUCCUUUUUUCCGCUUCAUCAGUUUGAGUCUCCUGCUCGUGGCCUUAUUCAAGGCAACCCCUACUAGUUGCCCCCCUCUCAUUAUACUUUGAUAUUCAACCCUCCUUUUUUUCUCUCUUUUUCUCUUGCCACCAACCCAUCCUUCUUGGGACUGGAACUGAAAAGGGCGGUGUUGACCUUGGGAGGAUUGGUUUGGCAUGUAGGAGCCAGACGGAUAAGUUGAGGGGUGGCCUGAUUCAAAAAGAGGGAUGUACUCAGCUGCUUGGGAAGGAUGUUGGGUUCCACCAGCUGGUGGGUUUGCCGAACCAGUGCGGCCCAAUCCAUGCUGCGAUUGCCUGUGCCUGGACAAGCUGUUAGAAUAGGCGAAAGCCUUCCCGCAUACCUCACAGCAGAAAUUCUUUUCACCCCUUAUUCCACCACCAUGGACAGUUUGUUGAUGGGCUGUCAGGUGGAACUGAUGGCGGAAUGAUUUCCAGCAUGUUGUGCAUGUAUAGAGCUUCUGAGAGGGUUGAGUGGACGAGCUGGACCCCUGAGACUUAUCUUGAGGGUAUGGAUAAUAAGAUUGAGAGUUUGCUUGAUUUCCAUCUAGAUUAUUAACCCCUCCAUGGCCCUUAGCUAUUUUUCCUCCUGGUGUACCAUCGGAUUCCCCUUUUGUGUGUAAUUUUCCAUGUCUCACCAAGCUCUGAGCAUAAGCAAACUCUUUACCACAUAUGUCACAUUUGUAGUUCUUCUGACCAGAAUGCACAGUGGAAUGUUUAGUAAGAUGGAAGUACUCCCGGAACUCUUUCCCACAAACAUCACACCGGUGUGGCUUUUCACCUGUGUGAACACGGUCAUGCCGACGUAGGGUCUCACGUCUCCUGAACCCUUUACCACAUACUCCACAUGAAUAUGGCCGUUCUCCCUCUCCACGACUUCUUCUUUGUCUAACUAUGAUUCCAUCAGGUCCUGGUUCUCUCUUCUGUCGAGGCUUGCGGGGCUUUUUCGGUUUAGCAUUCAUCAUCUGCUGGCUUGGAUGGGUUAAAGGCAUGGUAGAGCCACUACCUGCUCUGUAAGUCUUGUCGAUUUCAGAUGUAGAUGAUGGACCACCUGGUGAGACUCCCAUAUUCCCAAAGCCAAGUCCUCCAAGCAAACCUCCAAUGAUGUCUCUUCGCUCCUCUCCUCGACUCUCGCCAGUACUUAUCUCGCAGGAGGCAGCGGCAGCUGCUGCAAUUGCAGACAUGGCACUGCUAGUGACCUCAUCCUCAGAGUCAUCCAAUAGAGAUGAAAGAGGAAGAUGAGGCUGCUGUUGAUGGAGAUGGUGUUGUUGUUGACUUUGAGGGUGUGGGUGUAAGGUAGGAGCCAAGGGUGCUUUUCUAAGUGUCUGGCUUGACAUCUCACUGCUAUGGGAGCUCUCUCCAGAAUAACAAGAUUGGUUAGCCUGCUGUCGUCGGUAGUCAUCCACACUGUAGGAUGGUUGGUAGGAUGGCCGGUUUCUUGAAUAAUCCGUGCCAUAUUUGCUCGCUCCAUCUCGUUGGUAAUCACCUGUACCACUGCCUCCAGCCACCAUUUCAGUUUUGCUGCUACUUGCACUUGAUGAGCUUUGAUUUUCACCACUACCGCUUGGUCUGGGCCGGGAAUUCCUUCCAGGCUUUCCACAGGUGCCAGACGCAGCAUGAUUUAGCAAAGAGGUGCUCUCUCGGAAGCAGCGACCACAAGCAGGGCAUCGGAAAGGCUUAUCAUCAUGGAUCUUCUCAUGCCUAGUGAGGGACUCACGGCGGUUGAAAGACCGUUGACAGACACCACAUGCAAAUGGACGAGCCCCUGAAUGGAUAACACCAUGCUGGAGGAGGUGCCCUCUUUUCUUGAAUCCCUUUCCACAUUCGGUGCAACAGAACGUUUUGUCUUCGCUUGAAGUGUCUGGCUUGGCAUCUUCAGAAGUCAACCCAUGACUACGGAGAUGUCUUCGAAGGCUUGUAAGAUGACUGAAGGUCUUUCCACAUUCACCACAGUGGUAGAUGGCUUCAGGGUCAGGUUGACAAGGCAUGGAGGCCAUGGGAUUUGCAGGUUUAGGUAGCUGUGAAUCAUUAGCUACCAGCACCGAGGCUGUGGAUGAGGAAGGAGCUGAAGAGGAAGAGGAGGAGACCGUUGAGGAAGACUGUGUUGAUGAAGAGAGGACUGAUGAAUGGUUAUUACCAAGGCUGGUUAUGGCUCCUCCUACAAGGCCCGGUUGAAUGAUUGAAUUUUGACUGUGUUCAGUGGAGCUGCUGUGGCAGUUACUACCACUGCUACUGCUGUGACUAGUGCCAUCUGCUUUUCUCUGAGGAAGGUAGCCAGCCAUAGCCUUCUUUCUCCUGCUACCACCACUUCCACCAGACCCAGAUCCACUGUCUCCUUUCCCUUCAUCUUUCGAAAGUGAUAAAUGGAGUGGUAGAGGGAGAGGCAUACCACUAGCUUCUUGUUGCAUCAACGAAGCCAGCUGAUUGGAGGAGAGAACUGGAAUACCUUGGAAAUCAAAGCCACCCAGAGACGACGGCUGAGGUGUUGGGUGAAGAGGAUGGUGUGGGUGGGUAUGGCUGUGAGGGUGAGAUAAAGCAUGGGGUGCCAAUGGUUGCUGCUGCUGUUGAGGUUGGGGAGUGGAGUGACUAUGACUGUGAGAGGAGUGAAGAGCUGGAGGUGGGGCGAGGGCUGAGUUUGAGUCACUAGCUCCUUGGCCCAAACCCAGGCCAAGAUGGUUAUGACCCCCUUGUUGAACCAGAAACUGCUCCAGACUGCUGUUAGUCGGGACCCCAGAAAGAAAGUACUGAUUGGCGGCAAGCAUGCAACUGAACUGCUGAUGUAAGCUACGUGGAUCAGACUGCCCAACGAGUGGUUGCCCUAGGGAGGACACUGCACUGCCAGGGUUGUUACUGGUGGACGAUGAAGAUGACGGGGAGGGCGAGGAGGAUGGUCCAGGGUGUAAAGGUGGCGGUGGGGGAGCCGAUGUAACCACUCCUCCAAUAACACCAGACCCUCCACUGCUACUACCACCAAAGUCAAAACGUCCCAUUCCCGAGUGCAGCUGCUCUUGGGCUAGAGCUGCUUCUGCAGGGUGAAACGGACGUAAGAAUUGUGGGUAUCCCGCAGCAGAGCUCCCACUCCCACUACUGCUCAUCUUACUGGAUUUCCGUGAACUAUGCGAGGAUGAGGACUGGCUCUGGUGUGAUAUUGGUGGAGGUGGGGCACUCAUUUUGGCAAAUAUCGAUGAAGAAUCAGCAAAAGCAUUACUUCUAGACCCCUGAAGAGACCCCAGACCAAGCCCAGAGAGAAGAGCGCCUGACGACUCUCCCUGCUGUUGGUGCUGCUGCUGAAGCUGUUGCUGGUGCUGGAGUUGGACUUGCUGUUGGUGCUGCAACUGUCUUUCCAAUCCAAGGCCUUUAAACUGGUGAGCUUGGUGUCCACUUAGCAUAUCUAGAAUGUCCAAGGGGUACUUACUGAACUGGAACAUCUCCCACUCACUGAUGGGAGGUUUUUCCUGGGUCACUCGCCCUACUGUUGAAGUACAACAAUAUCGCACCAAUAAUAAUCAAUAGCCACAGCUAUUGAAAGUAAUGCUUCUUGAACAACUUUCUCUAGAAUGACUCCCGCUGCUACCAAUAUCUAUCCCUUAUCCCUUCUUAUACAGAUGAAUGCCUAGUGCUUGCACUUUAAACCAAGAAGAGCAGGUAAAGGUCCUUUUAAAUAAAUGCUGUUCCUAAUUUGAAAUACAAUGUAUAAAUAGUAUGCAGUCUAUGUAGUGUUUGUAGAUUCCUUCUUGUAUAGUGGUAGUCUUUGUUUUUCACCAAAAAUGUGAAGCUGUCCGCAUCCAGCUGGGGUGAUGAAGGAUGAACAGGUGUUCCACUUCUUUGUCUGCCCGUUGAUGCCACACUCUUGAAGACUGGGGAAAAACAGAAACAUUGUUUAAGUCUCUUGGUUAAAUAGGCCUAGAGCUUGAUAGCGCCUCGGGACAAAGUGGAGUCGCAAUUCAACGGCUCAGACACGAGGGUCUACAGGAAAUAACGGACUACAAAAAG